GCUUACUCUCCGCAAGUAACUUCGAUAGCGCUGGGGAGUGAGGCCUUACUCUCAGUGCAUGUAACAAAGGAUGCAAGUAAACCCUAUAACAUGGCUAACAUUUGUAAGGUGACAGUCUAUUGGACCACUGGAGUAGGCUAUCACUGAUGAUCUGUAAACUUCAGCCAGUAUUAAGAGUUUCUUCAUUGACAGGCCUUUGAGAUAACAACAUAUGUUCCGGAAGCUCAAAAUUGGAACCAGUGAAAUCUGCCCAUCUGUAGUGUCACCUGAGAAUGCUAACCAUGUCCAUCAAAACUGCAUUCUUUACUAAGAGACCCUAACAAGAUACUGGCCCCAAAACACCCCUAUAAAGAGAAAACUAUAUUGAGAUCUCCCUGAUUUGGAAACUACUGCGCAGUUCAUCUUAUGUAUUGGUCUAGUCAUCUAAACCCUCCAACAUAAAAAUGAGAACAAGGAAGAAGAAGAACAGGCCCAUUGCGUCCAGUCCUUGAUGUUGUCUUCCUAAUGAAAUUUUUGCCUAUCAGAUUCCUUCCCUGCAGAAAGAUUGUUUGCCUGAGGAUCGUGUGAUGGCCAUACUGCAGUCUUAGUAAACGUUAUUUGACAAUUAUUCAUGCUAUUAAAAGAAUUGAAUUUUGAAGUAUUUGUUUUAGCAUGAACUAAUAGUUACUAAAUGAAAAUAAAAUUAAGAAUAAUUAAAAUUGUCAUCCA